GCGCGUGUAGUUCAUUGGUAGAACGCCUCUCUUAUAAAGAGGAAGUAGAAGGUCCGAUCCCUUCCACGCGCACCA
rnacentral:tRNA from 2 species